rnacentral:rRNA from 1 species
AGAGUUUGAUCCUGGCUCAGGAUGAACGCUAGCGGCAGGCUUAACACAUGCAAGUCGAGGGGCAGCAUGUCCAGCAAUGGAUGAUGGCGACCGGCGGAAGGGUGCGUAACGCGUGAGCAACAUGCCCUAUACAGGGAGAUACACCAGGGAAACUUGGUCUAAUAUCCCAUAGCAUUCAUUGAAGGCAUCUUUAAUGAAUUAAAGCUUCGGUGGUAUAGGAUUGGCUCGCGUGACAUUAGCCAGAUGGUGAGGUAACGGCUCACCAUAGCAAUGAUGUCUAGGGGUUUUGAGAGGAAGGCCCCCCACACUGGGACUGAGACACGGCCCAGACUCCUACGGGAGGCAGCAGUGAGGAAUAUUGGACAAUGGCCGGAAGGCUGAACCAGCCAAGUAGCGUGCAGGAUGACUGCCUUAUGGGUUGUAAACUGCUUUUUUACGGGAAUAAUUAUGAUCACGUGUGAUUAUUUGCAUGUACCGUAAGAAUAAGGAUCGGCUAACUCCGUGCCAGCAGCCGCGGUAAUACGGAGGAUCCUAGUGUUAUCCGGAUUUAUUGGGUUUAAAGGGAGCGUAGGCGGGAGGUCAAGUCAGCUGUGAAAUGUAUCUGCUUAACGGGUACACUGCAGUUGAAACUGGUUUUCUUGAGUGCGUAAGAGGCAGGCGGAAUUCGUUGUGUAGCGGUGAAAUGCUUAGAUAUGACGAGGAACUCCUAUUGCGAAGGCAGCUUGCUGGGUCGUUACUGACGCUGAUGCUCGAAGGUGCGGGGAUCAAACAGGAUUAGAUACCCUGGUAGUCCGCACAGUAAACUAUGGAUACUCUCUGCCGGCGAUACAUUGUCGGUGGCCAAGCGAAAGCGUUAAGUAUCCCACCUGGGGAGUACGUUCGCAAGAAUGAAACUCAAAGGAAUUGACGGGGGCCCGCACAAGCGGAGGAACAUGUGGUUUAAUUCGAUGAUACGCGAGGAACCUUACCCGGGUUUGAAUUGCUGAUGGCGGUAUUUGGAGACAGAUACUUCCCUUCGGGGCGUCAGUGAAGGUGCUGCAUGGUUGUCGUCAGCUCGUGCCGUGAGGUGUCGGCUUAAGUGCCAUAACGAGCGCAACCCUUGUCAUUAGUUGCCAUCAGGUCAAGCUGGGGACUUUAAUGAGACUGCCACCGUAAGGUGUGAGGAAGGGGGGGAUGACGUCAAAUCAGCACGGCCCUUAUGUCCAGGGCUACACACGUGUUACAAUGGCCAAUACAAAGGGCAGCCACCCGGCGACGGGGUGCUAAUCCAUAAAGUUGGUCUUAGUUCGGAUCGGAGUCUGCAACUCGACUCCGUGAAGCUGGAUUCGCUAGUAAUCGUAGAUCAGCCAUGCUACGGUGAAUACGUUCCCGGGCCUUGUACACACCGCCCGUCA